rnacentral:rRNA from 1 species
AAAGACGGUCUUGCUGUCACUUAUAGAUGGAUCCGCGCUGCAUUAGCUAGUUGGUAAGGUAACGGCUUACCAAGGCAACGAUGCAUAGCCGACCUGAGAGGGUGAUCGGCCACACUGGAACUGAGACACGGUCCAGACUCCUACGGGAGGCAGCAGUAGGGAAUCUUCCGCAAUGGGCGAAAGCCUGACGGAGCAACGCCGCGUGAGUGAUGAAGGUCUUCGGAUCGUAAAACUCUGUUAUUAGGGAAGAACAUAUGUGUAAGUAACUGUGCACAUCUUGACGGUACCUAAUCAGAAAGCCACGGCUAACUACGUGCCAGCAGCCGCGGUAAUACGUAGGUGGCAAGCGUUAUCCGGAAUUAUUGGGCGUAAAGCGCGCGUAGGCGGUUUUUUAAGUCUGAUGUGAAAGCCCACGGCUCAACCGUGGAGGGUCAUUGGAAACUGGAAAACUUGAGUGCAGAAGAGGAAAGUGGAAUUCCAUGUGUAGCGGUGAAAUGCGCAGAGAUAUGGAGGAACACCAGUGGCGAAGGCGACUUUCUGGUCUGUAACUGACGCUGAUGUGCGAAAGCGUGGGGAUCAAACAGGAUUAGAUACCCUGGUAGUCCACGCCGUAAACGAUGAGUGCUAAGUGUUAGGGGGUUUCCGCCCCUUAGUGCUGCAGCUAACGCAUUAAGCA